ACAAUUAGCUGUUGGGACACUAGAUGUCUUAGUAGCGAAGCUAACGCGUGAAAUUGUCCGCCUGGGGAGUACGGUCGCAAGAUUAAAACUCAAAGGAAUUGACGGGGACCCGCACAAGCGGUGGAUGAUGUGGAUUAAUUCGAUGCAACGCGAAGAACCUUACCUGGUCUUGACAUGUACGGAAUCUCUUAGAGAUAGGAGAGUGCCUUCGGGAACCGUAACACAGGUGCUGCAUGGCUGUCGUCAGCUCGUGUCGUGAGAUGUUGGGUUAAGUCCCGCAACGAGCGCAACCCUUGUCAUUAGUUGCCAUCAUUAAGUUGGGCACUCUAGUGAGACUGCCGGUGACAAACCGGAGGAAGGUGGGGAUGACGUCAAGUCCUCAUGGCCCUUAUGACCAGGGCUUCACACGUCAUACAAUGGUCGGUACAGAGGGUAGCGAAGCCGCGAGGUGAAGCCAAUCUCAGAAAGCCGGUCGUAGUCCGGAUUGCACUCUGCAACUCGAGUGCAUGAAGUCGGAAUCGCUAGUAAUCGCAGGUCAGCAUACUGCG
rnacentral:rRNA from 1 species